rnacentral:tRNA from 1 species
GGGGUGUGGCCAAGUGGUAAGGCGCCUGACUCUGGAUCAGGAGAUCGAAGGUUCGAA